rnacentral:rRNA from 1 species
AACGUAGGUGGCGAGCGUUAUCCGGAUUUACUGGGCGUAAAGGGCGCGUAGGCGGCCUCCGCAAGUCGACUGUGAAAUCUCCGGGCUUAACCCGGAACGGUCAGCCGAUACUGCGGGGCUAGAGUGCAGAAGGGGCAACUGGAAUUCUCGGUGUAGCGGUGAAAUGCGUAGAUAUCGAGAGGAACACCUGCGGCGAAGGCGGGUUGCUGGGCUGACACUGACGCUGAUGCGCGAAAGCUAGGGGAGCGAACGGG